GACGAACGCUGGCGGCGUGCUUAACACACGCAAGUCGAACGGUAAGGCCCUUCGGGGUACACGAGUGGCGAACGGGUGAGUAACACGUGGGUGAUCUGCCCUGCACUUCGGGAUAAGCCUGGGAAACUGGGGCUAAUACCGGAUAGGACCCUGGGAUGCAUGUCCUGGGGUGGAAAGCUUUUGCGGUGUGGGAUGGGCCCGCGGCCUAUCAGCUUGUUGGUGGGGUGAUGGCCUACCAAGGCGACGACGGGUAGCCGGCCUGAGAGGGUGACCGGCCACACUGGGACUGAGAUACGGCCCAGACUCCUACGGGAGGCAGCAGUGGGGAAUAUUGCACAAUGGGCGCAAGCCUGAUGCAGCGACGCCGCGUGAGGGAUGACUGCCUUCGGGUUGUAAACCUCUUUCAGCACCGACGAAGCGCAAGUGACGGUAGGUGCAGAAGAAGGACCGGCCAACUACGUGCCAGCCGCCGCAGUAA
rnacentral:rRNA from 1 species